UACGUAGGGCGCAAGCGUUGUCCGGAAUUAUUGGGCGUAAAGAGCUCGUAGGCGGCUUGUCACGUCGGGUGUGAAAGCCCGGGGCUUAACCCCGGGUCUGCAUUCGAUACGGGCAGGCUAGAGUGUGGUAGGGGAGAUCGGAAUUCCUGGUGUAGCGGUGAAAUGCGUAGAUAUCUGGAGGAACACCGGUGGCGAAGGCGGCAUCCUGGACCGGUAUUGACGCUGAGGCGCGAAAGCCAGGGGAGCAAACGGG
rnacentral:rRNA from 1 species